rnacentral:rRNA from 1 species
GACGAACGCUGGCGGCGUGCUUAACACAUGCAAGUCGAACGGACAGGCCCUGCUUUUGUUGGGUGCUCGAGUGGCGAACGGGUGAGUAACACGUGAGUAACCUGCCCUUGACUUUGGGAUAACUUCAGGAAACUGGGGCUCAUACCGGAUAUGAGCUCCUGCUGCAUGGUGUGGGUUGGAAAGUUUCGGCGGUUGGGGAUGGACUCGCGGCUUAUCAGCUUGUUGGUGGGGUAGUGGCUUACCAAGGCUUUGACGGGUAGCCGGCCUGAGAGGGUGACCGGCCACAUGGGGACUGAGAGACGGCCCAGAAUCCUACGGGACGCAGCAGUGGGGAAUAUUGCACAAUGGGCGGAAGCCUGAUGCAGAAACGCCGCGUGCGGGAUAACGGCCUUCGAGUGGUAAACCGAUUUCGAAGGUGACGAAGAGUGAGUGACGGUAAUGGGUAAAGAAGCAACGGCUAACUACGUG